UACGGGGGGGGCAAGCGUUGUUCGGAAUUACUGGGCGUAAAGGGCUCGUAGGUGGCCAACUAAGUCAGACGUGAAAUCCCUCGGCUUAACCGGGGAACUGCGUCUGAUACUGGAUGGCUGGAGUAUGGGAGAGGAAUGCGGAAUUCCAGGUGUAGCGGUGAAAUGCGUAGAUAUCUGGAGGAACACCGGUGGCGAAGGCGGUGGUCUGGGCCGUUACUGACGCUGAGGAGCGAAAGCCAGGGGAGCGAACGGG
rnacentral:rRNA from 1 species